rnacentral:rRNA from 1 species
AGAAUCAACGCUGGCGGCGUGCCUAACGCAUGCAAGUCGAACGAGAAAGUGGGAGCAAUCCCAUUAGUAAAGUGGCGCACGGGUGAGUAACACGUGACUAACCUACCCUUGAGUGGGGGAUAACCUAGGGAAACCUGGGCUAAUACCGCAUAAUACCUACGGGUCAAAGGAGCAAUUCGCUUUAGGAGGGGGUCGCGGCAGAUUAGUUAGUUGGCGGGGUAAUGGCCCACCAAGACAGUGAUCUGUAUCCGGCCUGAGAGGGCGCACGGACACACUGGAACUGAAACACGGUCCAGACUCCUACGGGAGGCAGCAGUGGGAUUUGCGCAAUGGGGGAAACCCUGACGCAGCAACGCCGCGUGGAGGAUGAAGCCCCUUGGGGCGUAAACUCCUUUCGAUCGGGAAGAUAAUGACGGUACCGGAAGAAGAAGCCCGGCUAACUUCGUGCCAGCAGCCGC